rnacentral:rRNA from 1 species
UACGUAGGGGGCAAGCGUUGUCCGGAAUCAUUGGGCGUAAAGAGCUCGUAGGCGGUCUGUUGCGUCGGCUGUGAAAACCCGGGGCUCAACUCCGGGCCUGCAGCCGAUACGGGCAGACUAGAGUUCGGCAGGGGGAGACUGGAAUUCCUGGUGUAGCGGUGAAAUGCGCAGAUAUCAGGAGGAACACCGGUGGCGAAGGCGGGGUCUCUGGGCCGAUACUGACGCUGAGGAGCGAAAGCGUGGGGGAGCGAACAGG